UACGUAGGGUCCAAGCGUUAUCCGGAAUCACUGGGCGUAAAGCGUGCGUAGGCGGUUUGUUAAGUGCGCUGCGAAAUCCUGUGGCUCAACCAUAUGGACUGUAUCGCAUACUGGCAAUCUAGAGGACAUGAGAGGCAAGUGGAAUUACUGGUGUAGCAGUGAAAUGCGUAGAGAUCAGUAGGAACACCAAUGGCGAAGGCAGGUUGCUGGCAUGUAUCUGACGCUAAGGCACGAAAGCGUGGGGAGCGAACAGG
rnacentral:rRNA from 1 species